GAUGAACGCUGGCGGCGUGCCUAAUACAUGCAAGUCGAGCGAACAGAUGAGGAGCUUGCUCCUCUGACGUUAGCGGCGGACGGGUGAGUAACACGUGGAUAACCUACCUAUAAGACUGGGAUAACUUCGGGAAACCGGAGCUAAUACCGGAUAAUAUAUUGAACCGCAUGGUUCAAUAGUGAAAGACGGUUUUGCUGUCACUUAUAGAUGGAUCCGCGCCGCAUUAGCUAGUUGGUAAGGUAACGGCUUACCAAGGCGACGAUGCGUAGCCGACCUGAGAGGGAGAUCGGCCACCCUGGAACAGAGGAACGGUCCAGACUCCUACGGGGGGCAGCAGUAGGGAAUCUUCCGCAAUGGGCGAAAGCCUGACGGAGCAACGCCGCGUGAGUGAUGAAGGUCUUCGGAUCGUAAAACUCUGUUAUUAGGGAAGAACAAAUGUGUAAGUAACUAUGCACGUCUUGACGGUACCUAAUCAGAAAGCCACGGCUAACUACGUG
rnacentral:rRNA from 1 species